CUAAAAAAAGCUUCCGUUCAUAUUUAUCCCGGAUGUACUUUUCCAUAACACUAAAUAGAAAAAACUCGUUAAUAUCCAAGGAAAACCAUUUAAAAAACAAACGAAAUUUGCCUCUAUAUUACAAAAACUGAUGGGAAGCACUUACUGUUCAUCACUGAGAGCGUUGGUGGGUAACGGAUGACUUAGGGGAUUCGGGUUCCAAUACCGAUUAGCGUUAAUGUUUCCCCAAUGUUUCAUUUUCUAUACUCGUUAGUAAAAAAAAAAAUUAUUAAAAAUUGAAAGGAAAAAUAUUAAUUAAAAAAAAAUUACCUCAAUUUGAUCAUUAGACCAUUCAUCAAGAGAAAUCGACUUGACUUUUGAAACGUGAGUACCGAGUUUACGAUGAAUGGUGGCACAUCGAAGACACAGAAAGAUUCCUAAACAGUCAGCAAAAGAAUUAUUCCGUAGAAAAGGACAUACCAAGGUUCCAACUGGCCCAUUGAACGCCUCGAGUGCUACAAUCGGCACAAAGAUUGUUUCCUGAGACAGAUUGAACGAGUUCUCUUAUUGCAGUCUCAUUUCUCCGUCCAGACAUAACAAAGAUUUGUAAAUCCGGUUGGUCUGUAUUAAAUUAAAUUAAAAAAUGAAUAAUGCUUUCCUAUCCUUUCAAUUCUAAUGCUCAAUAUAUGGUGACGGAAACUUCUUUCAUUCAGAUAAAAGAAAUCAAGUUUAGGUACUUUAGUGGCCUCCCUAUUUUUUUUACGAGACUAAAAACAUUCGCUAUUUCACGAUAAAAAAUGAGAAUAACGUAAUAGUGUUCAUAUUCGGUAUUUUAAUAAUGAUUGAUGUUCAUUAGGAAAUGAUAAAAUCAGCUUUGCAUUCAUUGCUAGACUUAGCUGUUAAUAAUAUUUAAAAUCUCAUAAAUAUUUGCUUUCAAUCCUCGUUGCGAGGUAUUUCUAUUAAUUGAGCACACCAUGGGACCAAGCUACAUAAUACAUAAUGAAUGUUUACCAUAUUAAUUCCUCUCUAACUAGCACCAAAUAAGACUAUCA